rnacentral:rRNA from 1 species
CUACGGGCGGCAGCAGUGGGGAAUAUUGCGCAAUGGGCGAAAGCCUGACGCAGCAACGCCGUGUGAGGGAUGAAGGCUUUCGGGUCGUAAACCUCUGUCGGAAGGGAAGAACGGGCAUUGGUCUAAUAGGCCUUUGUUUUGACGGUACCUUUAGAGGAAGCACCGGCUAACUCCGUGCCAGCAGCCGCGGUAAUACGGAGGGUGCAAGCGUUAUUCGGAAUUACUGGGUGUAAAGCGCACGUAGGCCGUUUUGUAAGUCAGGGGUGAAAUCCCACGGCUCAACCGUGGAACUGCCUUUGAAACUGCAGGACUUGAAUCCUGGAGAGGGUGGCGGAAUUCCUGGUGUAGGAGUGAAAUCCGUAGAUAUCAGGAGGAACACCGGUGGCGAAGGCGGCCACCUGGACAGGUAUUGACGCUGAGGUGCGAAAGUGUGGGGAGCAAACAGGAUUAGAUACCCUAGUAGUC